GUUUGUUCCUGGCUCAGGACGAACGCUGGCGGCGUGCUUAACACAUGCAAGUCGAACGGUCCGGCACUCAACCACUAGUGGUCAGUAGGUAUUAAAUCCCGGGUAAGCGCAUGAGAGAGCGAGAGGGAGGAUAAGACACAACUGAUCAGUAGGGUUGAGUGCCGGGUAGUGGCGGACGGGUGAGUAACGCGUGGAUAACCUGCCUACAUGACCGGGACAACACCGGGAAACUGGUGCUAAUACCGGAUACGCUCUUGAGGGCACAUGCUUUUGAGAGGAAAGGAGCAAUCCGCAUAUAGAUGGGUCCGCGUCCCAUUAGCUAGUUGGGGGUGUAAGAGACCACCAAGGCGACGAUGGGUAGCCGGCCUGAGAGGGUGGACGGCCACACUGGAACUGAGACACGGUCCAGACUCCUACGGGAGGCAGCAGUGGGGAAUCUUCCGCAAUGGGCGCAAGCCUGACGGAGCAACGCCGCGUGAGUGAAGAAGGCCUUCGGGUUGUAAAGCUCUGUCUUCAGGGAAGAAGAAAAUGACGGUACCUGAGGAGGAAGCCCCGGCUAACUACGUGCCAGCAGCCGCGGUAAAACGUAGGGGGCGAGCGUUGUCCGGAAUUACUGGGCGUAAAGGGCGCGUAGGCGGUCAUUUAAGUCAGAGGUGAAAACUACCGGCUUAACCGGUAGCCUGCCUUUGAAACUGGAUGACUUGAGGGCAGGAGAGGGGAGUGGAAUUCCCAGUGUAGCGGUGAAAUGCGUAGAUAUGGGAGGAACACCAGUGGCGAAGGCGGCUCUCUGGCCUGUUUCUGACGCUGAGGCGCGAAAGCGUGGGGAGCGAACGGGAUUAGAUACCCCGGUAGUCCACGCCGUAAACGAUGGGUGCUAGGUGUAGGAGGUAUCGACCCCUUCUGUGCCGUAGUUAACACAAUAAGCACCCCGCCUGGGGAGUACGGCCGCAAGGUUGAAACUCAAAGGAAUUGACGGGGGCCCGCACAAGCGGUGGAGCAUGUGGUUUAAUUCGACGCAACGCGAAGAACCUUACCAGGGCUUGACAUCCCCUGACAGCCAUUGAAAGGUGGUAUUCUACCUUUGGGUAGACAGGGAGACAGGUGGUGCAUGGUUGUCGUCAGCUCGUGUCGUGAGAUGUUGGGUUAAGUCCCGCAACGAGCGCAACCCUUACGUUUAGUUGCUAACGUGUAGAGAUGAGCACUCUAGACGAACUGCCGUUGACAAAACGGAGGAAGGUGGGGAUGACGUCAAAUCAUCAUGCCCCUUAUGUCCUGGGCUACACACGUGCUACAAUGGCCGGUACAAAGGGAAGCGAAGCCGCGAGGCGGAGCAAAUCCGAUAAAAGCCGGUCUCAGUUCGGAUUGCAGGCUGCAAUUCGCCUGCAUGAAGUCGGAAUCGCUAGUAAUCGCAGGUCAGCAUACUGCGGUGAAUACGUUCCCGGGCCUUGUACACACCGCCCGUCACACCACGAAAGCGAGCAACACCCGAAGCCGGUGACUUAACCCGGCACUCAACUGGAUAUAAGGCAGAUGAUCUUGGAAAGCCAGGGAUGAGAAUAAAUAGCCAGGAAAGUUAGAAGAAUCGUAUAUCCAGUUGAGUGCCGGGAGAGAGCUGUCGAAGGUGGGGUUGGUGAUUGGGGUGAAGUCGUAACAAGGUAGCCG
rnacentral:rRNA from 1 species